UUUUGUUUAAUACGUACCUCACGGGCUGCCGUAGAGAAAGAGGGCAGGGCCUAUAAAACUGGGGAAUUGCAGUGAACCAAAUGAACUGUCAAACGUUGGACUAAGAAAUGGCGUUCCCCAGUAAAGGCAGCGAGUUUUCACGGUGAUGGUGAUGAUGAUGGUGAUGAUGAUGGAGGUUUUGAAGUCAAGUGACCUGACGAUGAUCCAGCAAAAUCAUCAAAGGAGAAAUAAAGCCAAUAUCACCUGUC